rnacentral:rRNA from 1 species
GACGGAGGAUGCAAGCGUUAUCCGGAAUGAUUGGGCGUAAAGCGUCCGCAGGUGGCAGUUCAAGUCUGCUGUCAAAGACCGGGGCUUAACUUCGGAAAGGCAGUGGAAACUGAACAGCUAGAGUAUGGUAGGGGCAGAGGGAAUUCCUGGUGUAGCGGUGAAAUGCGUAGAGAUCAGGAAGAACACCGGUGGCGAAGGCGGCAUCCUGGACCAAUUCUGACGCUGAGGAGCGAAAGCCAGGGGAGCAAACGGG